AGAUGAAGUUUCAGAGCCAUUCCCUUCUCUCAUGCCCUUCAUCAUCAUACCCUAGUUGUCGACCGCCGAUUACAACGGCGGUGGUUAUUACCUAUAAUUCCUGAACUCUUGUAUGGCGCUAUCCCAGAUGAGCUUUUGGAUGAGCCUAUAAUGCUUUCCUGCCGUACACAAUGGGUGUUUAAUUUCUUUGUCUUCUUGAUGGAGGAUGGGGAAACCCUUAUGUUAGUGACUGCCAGGCUCUUGGCCUUGCAAGGGCGAGGUUCUGGCUUAGUGCACUGCAGGCAGGGCUGCUGAUCCACGGUGAUAGGCUCAUCUCCUGUAUCGACUAUCCCUUCUGAGCUUGUAAAUUUCGUUUUAGCAUUUAAAUUUUAUUAAACUCUCUUUCUUCUCUCUCACUCACUCACUCUCUCUGUCAGUCUCUCUCUCGCUCUCUCUCUUCUUCGUGCAUUUGGUAGUGUUUUAAUUUCUUUCGGCUAGUAGUUCUGGAGGUGGUGUUAGUUUUGUGCCUUCUGCUGUGCACAGCAAUUCUACAAUGCUACUAGAAUUUGGC